ACUUCCCUCUCUCUCUCUCUCUCUCUCUGAGUCUGUGUUUCUUUGUUUCUGAAUUUGAAGGGUUCACGGAAUCGUUGUAUGAGCACGGGAACUCUCAAGAGGUGAUGCAUUCAUGUACUUGUAAUACUAUGUAUUAUGAAUCUUAAGGCGUUACUUUGGGAAAUAUACAAUAACAUGAACGAUUUAUAUACCACAUGAAUUCAAGUAGCCAGGUCCUACUCCUAGCUAUUGAAUUAAUACUGAGCUCUUGAAUUUCUUUUCUCCUUUCUCCUAUCUGCUCCGAUUGUGGGCUCUCAAAAGUUUGUGGGUUUAGAGGGUCUUUCAUUGGGCUUUUAGUUUGUGGGGUGUACGGACAACUAUGUUGUUUUUGUGAAUUUUAAGGUUCACAGGUUGAUUCUGUUGUUUGGUUCGUUUUUUGGAUCUGGGUUUUAGUUUUAGCUUGUAUUUUUUUUUUGGUAAAUGUUGCAUCUUUGCUCUUGUGGUAUGGAAUACGAGGUGAUGAAGUAAGUGGAAGUUUGACUUAGCUUGAGAAGAUACUUGUACUGCAGUCUGUGACUUUGGAGUUCCUGGUUAGUUUGGUUUUGUGAAGGGGUUUAAGAUUUUUGGGUUUUAUUUUGAGGGGGAUAUGGUGGUGAAUUUGAUUAUCAUGGUGAUGGUGAUUCAUGGGUAGUAGAACAGUGAAGGAUGGCUCUCCAUAUAUCAGACUGAAUAUUUUCUAAUAGUUUAGGCAUAUAUUUUAUUUCAAAUUAAUCAGAACAGUUAUGUGGGCGAAAGUGUGGGGGUUUCAAUUAAUGUUUGUGUGAUUAUAUGUGAACAGGUAAAAAAGAGUAAAACAAUUGCUAUCUUUGACUAUUUCCCUGGUCUACAAACACAAUUAUUUCAAUUCACUAUCCUAGUUAAAAUGUUUUAUCAGAUCAUCCUAGUGCUCAGGUGUCAUCUCACUAUUUAUGUAGGUGUACAUUUUCCUUUCUAGAUUAUUUCCUUUUCACAAUUGUCUUCUACAAAUUAAUUUGAGUUUAAAAUUUGGGUAUAAUAGUAGGUUAAAAUUGUGAUCAAAUAAUUGGUUGAUUGAUGACUUCAGUCACCAGUAAUCAUUCAAUUCUAAUUGUCUUUACUGUGGUGAUUUUAUGAAACUGAAAAUUGUGUUUGAAAGUACAAUUAUGCUUUGAACGUAUAUAGGCUCUUUAUGGAUGCGUGUUUUUGUGGAUGGAUUGUUGUAUUCUUAGAAUACUUUUAGCUUUUAGUACCUGCCUGAUGAAUAUGGAUUAAAAUACUUUUUAUGGCUCUUUUUUUUCUUUUUGGCAGUUUAUUACUGGUGAUUUUGAUGAUCUUGUUAUUUUCAGUGGCACAAAAGUAAACACCAUAGGUUCCUGAAUUUCAGAAUUCCGAACUUUUGAGCAAUCACUUGGAUUACACAUAGAUGUUGACCUAAGUAUAAGUACGUAGCCAGAACUCAACCUUUGACCGGAUUAGAUUAAUCUUGUUGUUGCUCUUUCAAUUACCACUUAAACAGUAUUUCUUUUCUAUUCAUCAUUUUUUUAUUUUUCUUUAACUUUAAUAAGUGCAGAACAAGUAUUCCCUACUAAAUUCUUGAGUAGAAAGCGUUGUUUCCAAUCCCUCCUUUCUUUGCCAUGUAGAAUGAGAAACUCAAUUAUUGUCCUAAAAUGUCCAUAUUGUAUGUUGUAAAUAAUAAUAAUAAUAAUAAUAUAUAUAUAUAUAUAUAUAAAUAAAUUUCCUGGUGGCUUUCCUCAUAACUAUGUACUUAACCCAAUAAUCAUGUCCACAAAUUCCUAUGGCCUCAUAGCCUGGUAAUUUAGGAUGAUUAUUGUGGAUCAAUUCCUUUGCAACUAUUUUCACCUGAGCUCAGAAAUAUUUCCUUUAGGAUUCAUUUUGACCUUCUGCAUAAAUUUUUCUUAUUCAUCUUUUCUUAGACUUCCCCUGAAGUAUGAGCCUGAAAAAGCAUAAUUACAGGAAGUGUAGGAAUUACAAUCACUGAAAAUACUGUUCCAUGGUUUAUAAGUUGCUUGGAUUGCAAUUUGGGCAUGCAUGUAAUUGUUUGAAUUAUGAUUCUUAAGGGAUUUUUUUGUGAAAUAUAUAAUAACAUAACAUGAUAUAAUAUUAGGAUGCAUAUUUCUUAUGUUGAAUUUCACAAGUUUCUUAAUCAUCUUCUCUCCCUAUUUGAUAACUUUAUUGGCUUAUAGAUCCACUAUACAAACAGAUGAAGUCAAGUAGCCAGGCCCUAAGUACAGAAGUUCAAUUUGCUACUUUAAAUAAGGGUAAUUAUUUCAAUUUCAUUAACAGUUACUUACAUCAAGUUCAAUAAAAUCAAUACUAAGCACUUCCAAGUCUUUUCUCCUUUCUCCUGCAUUGUGGAAUUUGGUCACUUGCAUCUUCAGAUAUAAAUCUAUCUGCUGCUAUAGUGGGGUCUCAGACACUAUCACUACAAAAGAAGCACAGCUGAAUCUGGUUUCUACAUCUGGUGGCCAUCAUGAGAACUGGGGAGAGUCCACAGUGGCAGAAGCAAGCCUCAGGACUGAUACCUCAACAGAUGACAAGAAUCAAAGGCAUGAAAGGGGUCAAUUGGCUGCUGUUGUGGCUUCUGAUUCCAGUGAUAAAUCAAAAGAGAAAUCAGGGGAUCAAAAGCCAGCUUGCUCAAAAUUGUGAAGCAGCCAGAAAAAGCUAAGAGGAAAAAAAAAAUUUAGCCAUAUGUGAAACAACUUGAGAGUAACCGCCUAAAGCUAACUCAACUAGAGCAAGAGCUCCAGCGAGCCCGCCAGCAGAUUUGACAAUGUUAUACUCAAUUAUGUGCAGUACUCCUUUUAUCCUUUUUCCAUUUCAAUCUUCUUGUGAAUCAAUAGGAGCCUUUAACUGAGCAACAAUUGGUAGGCAUUUACAGCUUGCAGCAGUCAUUCCAACAGGCUGAAGAUGCUCUGUCACAAGGCAUGGAGGCAUUGCAACAACCCCUGGCUGAGACAUA